rnacentral:rRNA from 1 species
GCAAGUCGAACGAAGAAAGCUCUUCGGAGCAAGUAAGAGUGGCGCACGGGUGAGUAACGCGUGGAUAAUCUGCCCUGGAGUGGGGAACAACCUAUCGAAAGGUAGGCUAAUACCGCAUAAGACCACAGAAGCUGCGGCUUCAGUGGUCAAAGAUUUAUCGCUCCUGGAUGAGUCCGCGUAAGAUUAGCUUGUUGGUGAGGUAAUGGCUCACCAAGGCUACGAUCUUUAGCUGGUUUGAGAGGAUGAUC